rnacentral:rRNA from 1 species
UACAGAGGUCUCAAGCGUUGUUCGGAUUCAUUGGGCGUAAAGGGUGUGUAGGUGGCGCGCUAAGUCGGGUGUGAAAUUUCGGAGCUUAACUCCGAAACUGCAUUCGAUACUGCGGUGCUUGAGGACUGGAGAGGAGACUGGAAUUACGGUGUAGCAGUGAAAUGCGUAGAGAUCGUAAGGAAGAACCAGUGGCGAAGGCGGGGUCUCUGGGCCGUAACUGACGCUGGAGGGAGCGAAAAGCGUGGGGAGCGAACAGG